rnacentral:rRNA from 1 species
ACUUGGGCUUCGGUCCAAGUUGAGUGGCGAACGGGUGAGUAACACGUGGGUGACCUACCUUCGAGUGGGGGAUAACGUCCCGAAAGGGACGCUAAUACCGCAUAACAUCCUGCCUUUGAACAGGUGGAGAUCAAAGCCGGGGAUCGCAAGACCUGGCGCUUGAUGAGGGGCCCGCGUCUGAUUAGCUAGUUGGUGAGGUAACGGCUCACCAAGGCGACGAUCAGUAUCCGGCCUGAGAGGGCGGACGGACACACUGGGACUGAGACACGGCCCAGACUCCUACGGGAGGCAGCAGUGGGGAAUUGUUCGCAAUGGGCGCAAGCCUGACGACGCAACGCCGCGUGGAGGAUGAAGGUCUUCGGAUUGUAAACUCCUGUUGCUCGGGACGAAAAGCUUCGACCUAACACGUCGAAGUCUGACGGUACCGAGUGAGGAAGCCCCGGCUAACUCUGUGCCAGCAGCCGCGGUAAUACAGAGGGGGCAAGCGUUGUUCGGAAUUACUGGGCGUAAAGGGCGCGUAGGCGGCCUGCUAAGUCGAACGUGAAAUCCCUGGGCUCAACCCAGGAACUGCGUCCGAUACUGGUUGGCUUGAAUCCGGGAGAGGGAUGUGGAAUUCCAGGUGUAGCGGUGAAAUGCGUAGAUAUCUGGAGGAACACCGGUGGCGAAGGCGACAUCCUGGACCGGUAUUGACGCUGAGGCGCGAAAGCCAGGGGAGCAAACGGGAUUAGAUACCCCGGUAGUCCUGGCCCUAAACGAUGAAUGCUUGGUGUGGCGGGUAUCGAUCCCUGCCGUGCCGAAGCUAACGCAUUAAGCAUUCCGCCUGGGGAGUACGGUCGCAAGGCUG